GACGAACGCUGGCGGCGUGCUUAACACAUGCAAGUCGAACGGAAAGGCCCUGCUUGCAGGGUACUCGAGUGGCGAACGGGUGAGUAACACGUGGGUGAUCUGCCCUGCACUUCGGGAUAAGCUUGGGAAACUGGGUCUAAUACCGGAUAGGAGCCAUCUUUAGUGUGGUGGUUGGAAAGUUUUUUCGGUGUAGGAUGAGCUCGCGGCCUAUCAGCUUGUUGGUGGGGUAAUGGCCUACCAAGGCGGCGACGGGUAGCCGGCCUGAGAGGGUGUACGGCCACAUUGGGACUGAGAUACGGCCCAGACUCCUACGGGAGGCAGCAGUGGGGAAUAUUGCACAAUGGGAGCAAGCCUGAUGCAGCGACGCCGCGUGGGGGAUGAAGGCCUUCGGGUUGUAAACUCCUUUCGCUAGGGACGAAGCUUUGUUGUGACGGUACCUAGAUAAGAAGCACCGGCUAACUACGUG
rnacentral:rRNA from 1 species